rnacentral:rRNA from 1 species
UGGGGAAUAUUGCACAAUGGGGGAAACCCUGAUGCAGCGACGCCGCGUGAAGGAAGAAGUAUUUCGGUAUGUAAACUUCUAUCAGCAGGGAAGAAAAUGACGGUACCUGACUAAGAAGCCCCGGCUAACUACGUGCCAGCAGCCGCGGUAAUACGUAGGGGGCAAGCGUUAUCCGGAUUUACUGGGUGUAAAGGGAGUGUAGGCGGCGAUGCAAGUCAGAUGUGAAAGGCGUGGGCUCAACCCGCGGACUGCAUUUGAAACUGUAUUGCUAGAGUGUCGGAGAGGUAAGUGGAAUUCCUAGUGUAGCGGUGAAAUGCGUAGAUAUUAGGAGGAACACCAGUGGCGAAGGCGGCUUACUGGACGAUAACUGACGCUGAGGCUCGAAAGCGUGGGGAGCAAACA